AUACGGAGGGUGCAAGCGUUACUCGGAAUCACUGGGCGUAAAGCGCGCGCAGGCGGCCUUUUAAGUUGGAUGUGAAAGCCUACGGCUCAACCGUAGAACUGCAUCCAAAACUAUCAGGCUAGAGUGUGGGAGAGGAAGAUGGAAUUAGUUGUGUAGGGGUAAAAUCCGUAGAGAUAACUAGGAAUACCAAAAGCGAAGGCAAUCUUCUGGAACGUUACUGACGCUGAGGCGCGAAAGCGUGGGGAGCAAACAGGAUUAGAAACCCCAGUAGUCC
rnacentral:rRNA from 1 species